UGCGAGUCAUGGGGCGCCUUGCGCGCACCGGCGGACGGCUCAGUAACACGUCGGUAACCUACCCUCGGGAGGGGGAUAACCCCGGGAAACUGGGGCUAAUCCCCCAUAGGCCUGAGGUACUGGAAGGUCCUCAGGCCGAAAGGGGCUUCGGCUCGCCCGAGGAUGGGCCGGCGGCCGAUUAGGUAGUUGGUGGGGUAACGGCCCACCAAGCCGAAGAUCGGUACGGGCCAUGAGAGUGGGAGCCCGGAGAUGGACACUGAGACACGGGUCCAGGCCCUACGGGGCGCAGCAGGCGCGAAACCUCCGCAAUGCGGGAAACCGCGACGGGGGGACCCCCAGUGCCGUGGCAUCGCCACGGCUUUUCCGGAGUGUAAAGAGCUCCGGGAAUAAGGGCUGGGCAAGGCCGGUGGCAGCCGCCGCGGUAAUACCGGCGGCCCGAGUGGUGGCCGCUAUUAUUGGGCCUAAAGCGUCCGUAGCCGGGCCCGUAAGUCCCUGGCGAAAUCCCACGGCUCAACCGUGGGGCUUGCUGGGGAUACUGCGGGCCUUGGGACCGGGAGAGGCCGGGGGUACCCCUGGGGUAGGGGUGAAAUCCUAUAAUCCCAGGGGGACCGCCAGUGGCGAAGGCGCCCGGCUGGAACGGGUCCGACGGUGAGGGACGAAGGCCAGGGGAGCGAACCGGAUUAGAUACCCGGGUAGUCCUGGCUGUAAAGGAUGCGGGCUAGGUGUCGGGCGAGCUUCGAGCUCGCCCGGUGCCGAAGGGAAGCCGUUAAGCCCGCCGCCUGGGGAGUACGGCCGCAAGGCUGAAACUUAAAGGAAU
rnacentral:rRNA from 1 species